CUGAUUUUUGAGGUAAAUUCCAUGAUGCAUCUGAAAGUGUUUUUGAGUAGAGAGUGUUUUGCAUAUGAACUGAACACUCGCUUAAAACUCCACUGAUGAUUAUUAGUGUGACACCGACACACACACACACACACACACACUUAAAACAAUGAUGUCUCUUAUUCUAAUGCUGUGGACACUCGGUCUGCUCGCUCAAGUGUCUCAUCAAGAGGUUCAGUCUCCUGAGUCUCUGAGUGUUAAAGCAGGAGAGUCCGUCUCUAUGAGCUGCACUGGGACCAGCGGAGUUGGUGAUGACAUGAGCUGGUAUCUGCUGAAACCUGGAGAAGCUCCUAAACUCCUGAUCUAUACAGCAAGUGAACUUGAAUCUGGAGUCCCAGAUCGGUUCAGUGGAAGUGGAAAUGAACCUGAUUUUACACUGAACAUUCGUGGAGUCCAGCCUGAGGAUGCAGGAGUUUAUUUCUGUAUGGGGGUUUAUUCUGGUCCAGUGUUCACACAGUGAAACAACAUCAUACAAAAACUUCCCUCAGACAGCACAAUGAAUUUACUCAAGCAAUAUGAAAUUUACAUUAAAUGAGAAAUUAUUUCUUCAGUAUGAACAGAAUCGGUAAUUGAUCUAACAUUCUGUCUGUGAUUCUGUGAUAAACAUGACACACAA